rnacentral:lncRNA from 1 species
UUAAUAUUCUGUCUUUUUCUCCCUCUGCCUCCCCCCACCCCACCCCUUGCUUGCAUGCAUGCACUCUUAAAAGCAUACACACACACAAAGAUAAAAUACAUUCAUAGUACCGUACUGUAAAAAACCUACCUAUAAGUGGAUCUGUUCAGUUCAAGCCUGUGUUGUUCAAGUGUCAGUUGUAAUAUCAAACUACUUCAUGUACUUGUGCUGUUAAAAGUUAAAUUAGGCCUCCAUUCCCACACAUCUUUCCAGCAGAUAUGUCUGUGAACUCACACGAAAGUUCCAACACCACCUUUUCAGACUUGAAUGCAAGUGCAAAGGAAAUUUCCAUACUUCAGAAUUUAUUUAACUAUGCGAUCAAAGAGCUUCCAUCUAACUUUCAAUUGUAAGUGAUUAGUCUGCAAAGUAAUGACAUGCUAAAAGGCAAAUAUUGAAGAAUUUAAUAGAAUUCAAUAAAUGCCAUCCCAGUAAUUAAUAUACUCAAUUAAAAUGAGAUGCUCAUGGGUUGAUAUCAGUAUUUGACAGUACCCAUCUUUGUGAAAAGGCACGUUCAAAUAUUAAAUAUGUAAAUCUCAUUACAGAACAGCAUUAACAGAUGAACAUUUGUAAUGUUUUGAUGAUAGGUUCAAACAUGAACUUUGUUGAUAGGCUCAAACACAAACUUUGAAUCUCAAUUCAGCAAAAUUUUAUCUCCCAGCAAAGAAUUCCUUUUUUCUCAUUAGUGGAUCAAUAUUAUUUUAGAGCACUUAAUUAUAUUUUGAAUAUCAAUAGAAAUUUUGUAGAAAAUUUUCACUCCUAUAAGUACCUACAUAAUAUUCUUGGCCUGGAAGACCUUGGAUAUUUACUGUCCACCCCUAUAUGACAAAGUUUGCUGACUCUGGAAUUAGACAAGCAAAUUAGACACUAGAUAACUUGAUUAAUUAAAGGGGGACAGAAUAAAUACUUAAGGGAGAAUAAUCCCAGAAACCGAAUUUUAAUAAUGCGUAGAAAAUUGAUUUAUAUAACUCAAUGCAAAGAAGUUUGAAGAUAUGAAUGAAAUCGGAUGAAAAUAGAAUUUACCAAUAUUAGGGCACAGUUAAUAGUCUGACUCUUGAUUUUGGCUCAGAGUCAUGAGAUCAAGCCCCACAUCAGGCUCUGUGUUCAGCAUGGAGUCCACUUGAGGUUCUCUCUCAAAUCUUUUUUUUUUUUUUAAGAUUUUAUUUAUUCAUGAGUGACACAGAGAGAGAGAGAGAGAGAGAGGCAGAGGCACCCAGGCGUCCCUCAAAUAAAUAAAUCUUUUUUAAAAAAAUGAAUUUACCAGAAAAAAAAUGAAUUUACCAAUAUAGACCUUAAAGGAAAUAGAUUCAACAGACCGCAGUUUUCAUUAAAAGUUGCCAAGAGUGUAUCCCUCAAAAAACUGUUUGAGCUAAUACACUAAUAAUGAACCAGGAGGGAAAAAAAUUGGGGAAAUAAUCCUAUUUACAAUUGCACCAAAAAUAAUAAAAUACCUAGAGAUAAAUUUAAGCAUGGAGGUGAAAGACCUGUACUCUGAAAACUAUAGGACGUUGAUGAAAGAAAUUGAAGAUGACACAAACAAAUGGAAAGAUACUUCAUGCUCAUGAAGUAUCAAAAGAACAAAUAUUGUUAAAAUGUCCAUACCACCCAAAGCAAUUUACAGAUUCAAUGCAACCCAUAUCAAAAUACCAAUAGUAUUUUUCACAGAACUAGAACAAAUAAUCCUAAAAUUUGUGUAGAAUCGCAAAAGACCCUGAAUAACCAAAGUGAUCUUAGAAAAGAAAAAACAGACCUGGAGGUAUCACAAUCCCAGACUUCAAGAUAUACUACAAGAUUACCACAAGCAGGGACCUGAGCCACCUGGGUGGCUCAGCGGUUGAGUGCCUGCCUUCGGCCCAGGGCAUGAUCCCAGGGUCCUGGGAUCAAGUCCCACAUACGGCUUUCUGCAUGGAGCCUGCUUCUCUCUCUGCCUGUGCCUCUGCCACUCUCUUUGUGUCUGUCAUGAAUAAAUAAAUAAAAUAUUUAUUUUAAAAAAAAGAUUACCACAAGUAAUUAAAACAGUAUGGUGCCAGCACAAAAAUAGACAUGUAAUCAAUGAAUGGUACAGAAUAGAGCCCAGAAAUAAGCCCACCCUUUUAUAGUCCAUCUAUAAGAGGCAAGAAUAUGCAAUGGGAGAAAAACAGUCUGUUAAACAAU